UAAUAUGCGGAAUAAUUGUUUUGUGGGUAUAGGGUCGGCGUAAUAGUAUUUCCAGCCUGGCGUAGUCGUUGUUUUUUUAGCGUAUUAAUGAUUUCCUUUUUUUCUUCUUUUUCCGUGUUUGCUAAGUAAUCGUCUAAUAUGAUGUUCGUAUCUUUUGCGCUCGGGUUGUAAAAGGUUACGAGUUUAGAUAUAUUUUCUCUAUAGGGUUUCGCAAUGGACGUAAGUUGUUGGGUGAUAACGAUGGUCGAGAUUCCCAUGUGUCUAGCGCUAAACCCAAGUUUUAUCAGUUCGCUCGUUCUGUUUUUGACAGAUUGACUGCUAGCACAGUCGUCGAGGACGAUUAGACUAUUCGUUCCUUCUGCGAACCAGGAAACGUGCUUUAAGCACAGAUUUACGUCGUCCUGUUUGCAGGGCAUGGCUAUAAAGUCCUUAUCCUUAUUGUAUUUCCAGUCCUGGUACGUUUUGUUCCAUUCGUAUGUGGGACAUAUUAGAAAUAUAUGCUCGAAGUGGUUUUUAUAAUCGUUCUCCAACAUUUUUAGUAGGUAAUAGGUUUUCCCACAUCCGGUCAUUCCGAGAAUGAUCAUGUUGAA